rnacentral:rRNA from 1 species
UCUGGUGUAGGGGUAAAAUCCGUAGAGAUCAGAAGGAAUACCGAUUGCGAAGGCGAUCUACUGGAACAUUACUGACGCUCAGAUGCGAAAGCGUGGGGAGCAAACAGGAUUAGAUACCCUGGUAGUCCACGCCCUAAACGAUGUACACUAGUUGUUGCUAUACUAGAUAUGGCAGUAAUGCAGUUAACACUUUAAGUGUACCGCCUGGGGAGUACGGUCGCAAGAUUAAAACUCAAAGGAAUAGACGGGGACCCGCACAAGCGGUGGAGCAUGUGGUUUAAUUCGACGAUACGCGAAAAACCUUACCUGGCCUUGACAUAGUAGGAAUCUUUAAGAGAUUAGAGAGUGCUAGCUUGCUAGAACCUACAUACAGGUGCUGCACGGCUGUCGUCAGCUCGUGUCGUGAGAUGUUGGGUUAAGUCCCGCAACGAGCGCAACCCACGUGAUUAGUUGCUAACGGUUCGGCCGAGAACUCUAAUCAGACUGCCUUCGUAAGGAGGAGGAAGGUGUGGACGACGUCAAGUCAUCAUGGCCCUUACGGCCAGGGCUACACACGUGCUACAAUGGGAUAUACAAAGAGUCGCAAUACCGCGAGGUGGAGCAAAUCUAGAAAAUAUCUCCCAGUUCGGAUUGUUCUCUGCAACUCGAGAACAUGAAGUUGGAAUCGCUAGUAAUCGUGGAUCAGCAUUGCCACGGUGAAUACGUUCCCGGGUCUUGUACUCACCGCCCGUCACACCAUGGGAGUUGAUUUCAUUCGAAGCGGGGAUGCUAAAGUAGCUACCUUCCACAAUGGGAUUAGCGACUGGGGUGAAGUCGUAACAAGGUAACC